GACAGAGGGUGCUAGCGUUGUUCGGAAUUACUGGGCGUAAAGCGAACGUAGGUGGUUUUGUGUGUCUGGUGUGAAAGCCCUCGGCUCAACCGAGGAAGUGCGCUAGAAACUGCAAAACUGGAGUGUAGGAGAGGAUGGUAGAAUUCUCAGUGUAGAGGUGAAAUUCGUAGAUACUGGGAGGAACACCGGUGGCGAAGGCGACCAUCUGGACUAUAACUGACACUGAUGUUCGAAAGCGUGGGUAGCAAACAGG
rnacentral:rRNA from 1 species